rnacentral:rRNA from 1 species
UUGCCCUAGUAACGGCGAGUGAAGCGGCAACAGCUCAAAUUUGAAAUCUGGCCUCGGCCCGAGUUGUAAUUUGCAGAGGAUGCUUCUGGCGCGGUGCCUUCCGAGUUCCCUGGAACGGGACGCCACAGAGGGUGAGAGCCCCGUAUGGUCGGACACCAAGCCUGUGUGAAGCUCCUUCGACGAGUCGAGUAGUUUGGGAAUGCUGCUCUAAAUGGGAGGUAAAUCUCUUCUAAAGCUAAAUACCGGCCAGAGACCGAUAGCGCACAAGUAGAGUGAUCGAAAGAUGAAAAGCACCUUGAAAAGGGGGUUAAAUAGUACGUGAAAUUGUUGAAAGGGAAGCACUUGUGACCAGACUUGGGCCGGGCGGCUCAUCAGGGGUUCUCCCCUGUGCACUCCGCCCGGCACAGGCCAGCAUCGGUUCUCGUGGGGGGAUAAGACCGUCAGGAACGUAGCACCCUCCGGGGUGUGUUAUAGCCUGGCGGACGAUACCCCCGUGGGGACCGAGGUUCGCGCUCCGCAAGGAUGCUGGCGUAAUGGUCACCAGUGACCCGUCUUGAAACACGGACCAAGGAGUCGUCCAUUAGAGCGAGCGUUUGGGUGUAAAACCCGCACGCGUAAUGAAAGUGAACGCAGGUGAGAGCUUCGGCGCAUCAUCGACCGAUCCUGAUGUUCUCGGAAGGAUUUGAGUAAGAGUUUUAACGGACGGACCCGAAAGACAGUGAACUAUGCUUGUAUAGGGUGAAGCCAGAGGAAACUCUGGUGGAGGCUCGCAGCGGUUCUGACGUGCAAAUCGAUCGUCAAAUAUGAGCAUGGGGGCGAAAGACUAAUCGAAC